UACGGGGGGAGCAAGCGUUGUUCGGAUUUACUGGGCGUAAAGGGCGCGUAGGCGGCCACCGCAAGUCGACUGUCAAAUCUCCGGGCUUAACCCGGAAAGGUCAGCCGAUACUGCGGGGCUAGAGUGCAGAAGGGGCAACUGGAAUUCUCGGUGUAGCGGUGAAAUGCGUAGAUAUCGAGAGGAACACCUGCGGCGAAGGCGGGUUGCUGGGCUGACACUGACGCUGAGGCGCGAAAGCUAGGGGAGCGAACGGG
rnacentral:rRNA from 1 species